rnacentral:rRNA from 1 species
GACGAACGCUGGCGGCGUGCUUAACACAUGCAAGUCGAACGGAAAGGCCCUGCUUUUGUGGGGUGCUCGAGUGGCGAACGGGUGAGUAACACGUGAGUAACCUGCCCUUGACUUUGGGAUAACUUCAGGAAACUGGGGCUAAUACCGGAUAGGAGCUCCUGCUGCAUGGUGGGGGUUGGAAAGUUUCGGCGGUUGGGGAUGGACUCGCGGCUUAUCAGCUUGUUGGUGGGGUAGUGGCUUACCAAGGCUUUGACGGGUAGCCGGCCUGAGAGGGUGACCGGCCACAUUGGGACUGAGAUACGGCCCAGACUCCUACGGGAGGCAGCAGUGGGGAAUAUUGCACAAUGGGCGGAAGCCUGAUGCAGCAACGCCGCGUGCGGGAUGACGGCCUUCGGGUUGUAAACCGCUUUCGCCUGUGACGAAGCGUGAGUGACGGUAAUGGGUAAAGAAGCACCGGCUAACUACGUGCCAGCAGCCGCGGUGAUACGUAGGGUGCGAGCGUUGUCCGGAUUUAUUGGGCGUAAAGGGCUCGUAGGUGGUUGAUCGCGUCGGAAGUGUAAUCUUGGGGCUUAACCCUGAGCGUGCUUUCGAUACGGGUUGACUUGAGGAAGGUAGGGGAGAAUGGAAUUCCUGGUGGAGCGGUGGAAUGCGCAGAUAUCAGGAGGAACACCAGUGGCGAAGGCGGUUCUCUGGGCCUUUCCUGACGCUGAGGAGCGAAAGCGUGGGGAGCGAACAGGCUUAGAUACCCUGGUAGUCCACGCUGUAAACGGUGGGUACUAGGUGUGGGGUCCAUUCCACGGGUUCCGUGCCGUAGCUAACGCUUUAAGUACCCCGCCUGGGGAGUACGGCCGCAAGGCUAAAACUCAAAGGAAUUGACGGGGCCCCGCACAAGCGGCGGAGCAUGCGGAUUAAUUCGAUGCAACGCGUAGAACCUUACCUGGGUUUGACAUGGAUCGGGAGUGCUCAGAGAUUGGUGUGCCUCUUUUGGGGUCGGUUCACAGGUGGUGCAUGGCUGUCGUCAGCUCGUGUCGUGAGAUGUUGGGUUAAGUCCCGCAACGAGCGCAACCCUUGUUCACUGUUGCCAGCACGUUAUGGUGGGGACUCAGUGGAGACCGCCGGGGUCAACUCGGAGGAAGGUGGGGAUGACGUCAAGUCAUCAUGCCCCUUAUGUCCAGGGCUUCACGCAUGCUACAAUGGCUGGUACAGAGAGUGGCGAGCCUGUGAGGGUGAGCGAAUCUCGGAAAGCCGGUCUCAGUUCGGAUUGGGGUCUGCAACUCGACCUCAUGAAGUCGGAGUCGCUAGUAAUCGCAGAUCAGCAACGCUGCGGUGAAUACGUUCCCGGG